rnacentral:lncRNA from 1 species
AUAAACUCUGUCCCCUAUUUGGAUAAAACGUGCUGGAUUGAUUAGAUUGCCGCACAAAAGUCUGUCCAUAUUUUUUUUCUUUCUUUCUGGGAUUUUGUCCACCUAGCAGUCCGUGGCAUGACUCAUCGCCUUUAACGUUGAAAGAAGAAAACAAUGUAUUUGAGUGUAUGCUGAACUUAUUUUCUGCUCUUUUGCAGGGAGAUUAUUAUCUUGGAAGACUGGAGGACUUCAAAAUAACAAUAUUAUGGUUAGUAAUUGCUAGUAUCUUUCCUUAUUAUAUUUGAAAUAUUUGUACAAAAGAAGCAAUUUUCAAAGAAAAUGCUGCCUAUUCAGGUCCUAAUCAUUGAAUCUGCUGUUCUGACUCUUCUGAGAGUUUUCUUUUUCAAGCAAAUGCUUUUUCUCUUGAGCGAUGAUUUGAUAUAACUGGUGAUGUUUGCCUGAUAAAUGUAUAUUAAUGAAUAACCCAAAUGUUUGGAUUUAAAAAACUUCUUUGGUGUCAAUUGAAGUCUUGGAGCUUUCCAGCAAGAUAGCAUGGAUAAUACUGUAGUAGGUUAUAUUUAUCUAGAGUAUUUUUUAUCUUUGUAUUAGUAUUAUAUGGUACGAUACUGUACCACUAUCCUAAUACAUAACAUAACUAUCCACAUUGGGCACAUUUUUCCAAAUAUCUCUUCAUUUUACAGUAUACCACGAGCCUUUUUAUUUAUUUCUGUCUGUACUGAAAAAUAUACACAAAAAAGAAAACCACAGAACACCUCUUUCCAACAAACUGACUCAGUUGAGGUCACUUUUGUUCACACUAGGCAGCCUAGCAUAGUACUUUUGACUUCCAGCGAGUUUCUGGUUGUACCUGGCCAGUGAGAUUGAGUGGAGGACUGUGGCUAGUGGUGAGCCUGGGUCGAGUUCUUGAAAUCAGGUAGAGUUCAUGCACCUAGUCUGCGUGAUGUCUCAGAAUAAAGCUGCUCUGUUGAUCUGUUGGUGGCUUGUCCUUCUACUUUCCAGUACAGAUGACGAUUCCAUGUGUUCCAGUGCUUGAUGCACUCCUGCCUAACCUAACAUCUUCAACGCAACAAUUUUCUGACUCUUGUACCGGUUUGGUGCACCUGGUUUGUUUGAUAUAACGGAGUUGUUUUUGAGAUCUUUUGUCAGGACAAUCUAUUUCCCAGUACAGACAAGGAUGGUUGGAGCUCUCAUGAGUCACGACCUCUCCUAGAGGUGGUUUUCCGACUCUUCAACACUGCUUUGUGUUUCUUCUGCUUGUUUUUUGAUCCACGUCCCUGCUCUAUUAUUUUUGGAGGUGAUUGGCAUCAGUCUUUUUUCUUGGCUUCCCCAUCUAGUGUUCUAUUAAUAUGGGUGGCGACGGUGAUGAUUCUGUGUGACUAAUAAUCAGUAGUGGAAGUGUUAGUAAUGAAUAGAGCCAGGCAAGUGGCAGAGGUGAUUGCAAAAUGUUGUCCAACAAUGGCAGUGGUAGUAAUGAACGGUGUCAAAAGACGAUGGCAUAGGCAUCGACUAUCAAGCUAUGAAGGUGGAGGAUACCAGAGAGUGCUGGGGGGAGGGUGCCUGAUGUUGGCGGUGGAAGAUGCCAAACAACUACUUGCCAACGAAGGUAGUGGUUGAGGUUUCUUGGAGGUAGCAGUGAUGCCGAUAAGCAUUGCCAUAUGGAAGAGGUGGCAGUGAUACUGUCAAGCAGUGCCAUAUGACAAUGGUAGAGGGUGUCAUGCGGCGGUGUGGGGAGGGUACUUGGCGGGGGCAGCCAAGAGGUUGUUGGAAGGUGAUGGUAAAGGGUGCAGGCUGGAGAGGUAAUGAUGGAUGGUGUAAGGCAAUUGUGACGGUGGAGGUUGUCGGGUGGUGAUGCUUGAAAAGGGAAAAAAUCUAGAUCUUAUCCAGCUCCCUCUCAAGAUAAAUUUUACAUCAAUGAAUAGAAUCGAAUAAGCCACUAGGGUAAUCUUUUUAUAUCCUAUUGGUUCAACCAACAAAGGAUUAUGAUGAGAAAUAUGAUAACUUGUCCUAUUUUAUCUUUCUUAUCUUGACCGCCAAACAGGCUUUAAAGUCAACCUAGAUGGAUCAUUUUCAUUCUCAAGGCUUGCACUUUUAAAGGCUAGUCUUAGACUCGCAGUGUCGACUACGCUAAAACAUUCUCAUCUAGCUCUGGGUUGGCUUUUGUUUGUCUGUUCAUUUGUUGCCCACAUCAUCAUUGGCUUGUGCAUCUUUUUGCUGAAAAUACCAUUCUCCAUAGUGAUCUAUAAUAAGAAGUCUAUAUGGAGCAAAUUAAUUGUGUGAAGGUUUGUUGGUUAGAUGAAUCCCAUUUGGCUUGAAAUAAUCUCCCCAGGUUUGGUUUGAGAUCUUAAGUGAAGUACUCGCAGGAUUCUUUAAGUUUAAUCAUGAGGCAAUAAUUGCUUUUUUGUAAUAUGUAUUGUCAAAAGCUCUCCAAGGAAGUUACCAAAAAAAUAUGAUUUAGAUAUGGUCAUGUUCAUAUAAUCUUUAUCAAAAAUCCAUAAGUUUAUGGUCAUUCUCAUGGUAGUCUAUGUUGAUGACAUGGUAAUAUUUUGGGAGCGACACAUUUGGUAUAGAAAAAUUCAAUCACAUAUUUCAAACCAAUUUUCCAACAGAAGAUCCAGGCCAUUUGAAGCACAUGGGAAUUAAAAAGAGAUUUUCCUAUCUUAGUGAAAAUAUUUCAUUUGUUUACUGGAAAUAUGUUCUCGAUCUCCUUCCAAAUUUGCAUGUUGGAAAAUAGACAUUGUGACACUAUAAUGUAAAACUCAUUUAAGAUGAUCUAGUCUGGAAAGGUACAGGAGGUUAGUUAAUACUCAAGUAUCUCACUGUGACAUGUCCGGACAUUGCUUUCCCAGUAAGUGUCGUAAAUCUGUUCGUGUCAUCUCCUCUAAGUCUUGUUCGAAAGCAAUUUUCCAUAUCUCAAGUUAUUUGUAAUGAGCUUUGAGUUGUGUGAUUUUUUCUAAAGACUGUGGCUACAUAUAGUAGGACAUUUCGAUGCAGAAUGCAGAUGGCUUGAUGACCUUAUCAAUCAAAAAAUGAAUCCUGUUACUGAGUGUUCCUUCCUCAGAGGAAAUUUUAUCCCUUGCAAAACAAGAAAUAAAAUGCAGUUGCAAGACCACCGUGUCUGAUUAUUUGGGCAAUGACUCAAACUUAGUUAUAUGGGGGAAUUGUCUAUAGUCUGAGUUUGGACUAAAGAACUCUCUUUUGAAACAUUAAUGUGAAAGCGAGUCUGCUAUCCACAUUCCCUCAAACCCAGUGUUUAAUGAAAGAGGGUAACUUGGGAAAGGAUUUAAAACUGACGUGUAUUUAGUAGACAUAUUUGAAGUGGGGACCAGUUAGGUAAGAUCUUCCCUAAGCACUUAAGGGGAGUAGGGUAUCUUUGUAACCAGUUGGACAUGAUCAACACCUACACUCCAAUUUUAGGGUAAGUAAUAGUUGUGUUAUGUGUGUACAUCAUUUAUGUGCAAAGGACAUUUCUGCCUUCUGCACUACAUUGUACUAAACUGUACUGCUAGCCUAAGUAUACUUUACACAAAGACUUCCACGCCUGGUUCGAUACAGUUCCCCAAACUUCCCUUCAAUUGAUGUCAACCAAAUAGAAAUCAUCUUUAACUGGUUCUGAGGGCGGUUUUGAACUGGUGUGUUACUCAAGUACUUAAAACAAUUUGCAGACACAAAUUGCAUAUACAAUCUACUGGAAGCAAUUUAAACCUGCAUCAGACUACAUUUAAGCUCCACCACCUCAGUUUUACUUUAAUCUUAAGUAGUAGUAAGUUGGUAAAUUUUCAUAAUUUUCUGUAGUAAAUGGAGCAAUUCCCUCACUCCAAUAAUUUUGUAAUGAUAAAAGAGAACAUAUACAAAAACGUCCAAUAGUUUGUGAAUGUCAUUCAAUUUGAUAUUAUAUGUCAUUGCAGGUUGGAAUAAUACCUUGGCUAGCAAUAUCUUCCAGGGUUAGCAAAUUUAUUUGUAAACUCACGUAUGGCAAAUAGAUUUUCAUGAUCUUCAUCGAGAAUGACUGAUUGGUAGCUGGUUGGAGCGGUAUCGUGGAUUUAAAACAGCAAGAACAGGACAUUACUAGGUUGUACAUCUUGAAAUUAGUCCCUCCUGCCUCCUGCUUGUUAUAUGAUAUGCAUUUCUUCUGGGCUGUUUUUAUUUUUCCACUUGAUUUUUUUUUGGGUACUUAUCAAGAAAUUUUGUCUUCAAAUAAGGAGAUUUGUUUUAAAGGCCUUUGGAUUAGUCUUAUUUAUUAAUUUGUUUGUUUUUGAUGUUGAAUUGGUAAGUUUGUAAAUUUUUGAUGGUGUAAUUUGUGUUCUUUUUUUGAGGGUUGGUUCUAUUGUAUCAAAAAAGAGGGGACAGUAGUUUUGACUUGAAUUAGGUGUUGUACAGCAAGUAUGUCAUGAGGUUAUUUAUGCUGUGAUUAAUUUGUUAUUUUCUGAUUAAAGUUAAAACAAAAAUAUUAUGCUUGUCGGACAAAAAAACUAAAGGGAAAAUAUUGUAAAGGAAGCGAUGCGGCUCUUGUUCUUAAUGCCGGUCCUGUUCAACCGGGAACGUCUGGUCCAAUAUAAUCAUAUACCGAAGGAUGUAAAAUUGGCAAAACUAUUCAAAAAACGGGACAAAUCCAACACAUAAAUCAUCAAUAACACAAGGCUUUGCCCCUGCUUCACUCAAUAUAAACAAACAAUUAACGAUUCAUUCAUAUUGCAUAAGAAAACCCUACAUUAUAUACUUCAUCAACAACAAAAACAACACUAAAAUUCCCCCAAAAAAAUAAUUAGAAAACUUACGUGUCGUGUUGG